GACGAACGCUGGCGGCGUGCCUAAUACAUGCAAGUUGAGCGAUGAAGAUUGGUGCUUGCCCCAAUUUGAAGAGCAGCGAACGGGUGAGUAACGCGUGGGGAAUCUGCCUUUGAGCGGGGGACAACAUUUGGAAACGAAUGCUAAUACCGCAUAACAACUUUAAACAUAAGUUUUAAGUUUGAAAGAUGCAAUUGCAUCACUCAAAGAUGAUUCCGCGUUGUAUUAGCUAGUUGGUGAGGUAAAGGCUCACCAAGGCGAUGAUACAUAGCCGACCUGAGAGGGUGAUCGGCCACAUUGGGACUGAGACACGGCCCAAACUCCUACGGGAGGCAGCAGUAGGGAAUCUUCGGCAAUGGACGAAAGUCUGACCGAGCAACGCCGCGUGAGUGAAGAAGGUUUUCGGAUCGUAAAACUCUGUUGGUAGAGAAGAACGUUGGUGAGAGUGGAAAGCUCAUCAAGUGACGGUAACUACCCAGAAAGGGACGGCUAACUACGUG
rnacentral:rRNA from 1 species